AUUGAACGCUGGCGGCAGGCCUAACACAUGCAAGUCGAGCGGAUGAAGGGAGCUUGCUCCUGGAUUCAGCGGCGGACGGGUGAGUAAUGCCUAGGAAUCUGCCUGGUAGUGGGGGAUAACGUCCGGAAACGGGCGCUAAUACCGCAUACGUCCUGAGGGAGAAAGUGGGGGAUCUUCGGACCUCACGCUAUCAGAUGAGCCUAGGUCGGAUUAGCUAGUUGGUGGAGUAAAGGCCUACCAAGGCGACGAACCGUAACUGGUCUGAGAGGAUGAUCAGUCACACUGGAACUGAGACACGGUCCAGACUCCUACGGGAGGCAGCAGUGGGGAAUAUUGGACAAAGGGCGAAGGCCUGAUCCAGCCAUGCCGCGUGUGUGAAGAAGGUCUUCGGAUUGUAAAGCACUUUAAGUUGGGAGGAAGGGCAGUAAGUUAAUACCUUGCUGUUUUGACGUUACCAACAGAAUAAGCACCGGCUAACUUCGUG
rnacentral:rRNA from 1 species